GGGGCUGUAGCUCAGCUGGGAGAGCGCCUGCUUUGCAAGCAGGAUGUCAGGGGUUCGAGUCCCCUCAGCUCCACCA
rnacentral:tRNA from 3 species